GCUUGUUUACCUAAGACUUGUUUACACGGACUUUUAAAAUUUACAUUACUUGAAUACUUUCGAUGCUCUUUGAAAGAAUAUCAACUCAAGAGGGAUGAGGAUUGGUAACCUGGUUCAUACAUUGACCAAUCGGCGCAGGAUGUAAAACCCGGUGGCAUAUGCUGAAUCGCAAGAUCAAGCAUUGGGCUAUAAAACGAUUGCUUUCUGGAUGAUGGAUCCUUAUCACAUUUGUACACAUUUGUGGUGAAGUUUAUCUGAACUUUAUAGGUAACGAAUUCGGUCGAUGAUAAGUUAAGUGAUUUUGAUCGUUCAAUGCCCAUAUCAAAGAACGUUUCCAUUGGUCAGAAUGCCUACCAGCGUAUGAUAGCUGCAAACAUGAGGACAACAAGGUUAUCGCUUUCGAAUGGAACAAUCAUUUAUUUAAGGUUACCAAAUGGACUGAGAGCAAAUUAAGGACAUCCCUGCCAAAUCUAUUCGGAAUUGGAGCCUGAAUCAGUUGUCACAUGAGCCAGAAUUCUGAAAAAGUCGGGAUGCUGGCUUAUGUUCCCGCAGUUGAACUGGGACGUUGAAUCUUGAUCGAGACAAAUUGGAAUGGUGUAGUGCCAAUAUUGAACGAAGAUAACAUCUUUGGCUAUAUAGAGUUAUCCAACAAAUUUUGGUUACUUCUGAGUAAAAGAACUUUUGGUUGGAAUGAGUCGCCGAGAGUAUGCAUUAACAAAAACAAUCGCUGGAAGUAUUUGAAAAUGACAAUUGAAAUUGAUUCUCUUCACAGUAAACUGAAUGUACCUAGAGAAUUGGUACUAGCGCUGUACCCAAACAGAAGUUGAACUGGGACGUUGAAUCUUGAUCGAGACAAAUUGGAAUGGUGUAGUGCCAAUAUUGAACGAAGAUAACAUCUUUGGCUAUAUAGAGUUAUCCAACAAAUUUUGGUUACUUCUGAGUAAAAGAACUUUUGGUUGGAAUGAGUCGCCGAGAGUAUGCAUUAACAAAAACAAUCGCUGGAAGUAUUUGAAAAUGACAAUUGAAAUUGAUUCUCUUCACAGUAAACUGAAUGUACCUAGAGAAUUGGUACUAGCGCUGUACCCAAACAGAAGGUAUGAUUUACCAACUAAUAGAUGGAAAUUUCUAUACUAUGUAUUCUUUUUCAUGUAUAAGGUAGUUGUAAUAGACUCGUAAUUACCUAAUUUAGAUAGAGUGAAUAUACCCACUUCUAAGUUCGAGCACUUUUCUGGACGUGUAGGUAAAUUGUACCUAAAUUCCACAAAACUGAACAUACUCAGCAGUAGGUAACUUGAAUCCACCUAAAAUUUGGUAAUUGGUUAUCAAAUCUAUCGGAUGUUACAUAAAAGUAGAUAAAUGUAAUAGGGAUUGGAACCUAUUCGUAGGUAAUUUGUAUCCAUUUUAUGGGUACUACGCCACUACCAAUUUUCUAGAUAUAUCCAAUUUACCGUGUUGGAAUAAAAUUGAUCUGAAUAAUUUAAUACAGGGUGAUUCAUCGUUUGGCAUCAUGACGUUUUUUGAUCUCGCAAAAAUUUUAAACAUGGAGUAAAUCGCGAAAUGUUUAUUUGUCAAUCGAAAGAACAUUUUUUGCCAUUUAUUGUUUGAAAACAAUUUCUUUUAAACGUUGACCAUGUUGGCGCUUGAGGUAAUCCUUUCGAUUGGUCCAAUUUUUGAUGAUGGAUUCGAGUAUUUCAAGUGGUAUCUGGCUAAUUAGUCGAGUAAAGUUGGUUUCCAAUGGGAAUGUCAAUGUUUUCUUCAAUGCGUGCUGGAUGUGGCGAGGGGAAUUAAUUCCCCAUUCAAAGUGAAUUGAAAAUACCCAAUUAAAAAAAUACACGAGAAAUGCUUCAAUACACCUUAAUACAUUUAAUACGUCGAAAAUUCACUAAUACACAAAAAUACGUCAUUACCGGAAAUAUUUUUCAAUGCGUUGAUAACAAUCCAAUUCGUCAAGUAAUACACUGUUGAUACAAGCCAUACAAAUAUUACAUUAAUUUCAUACCAAAUGAAACUAAUUCAGUAUAUUUCUUAUUAUGACAUAGCGUAUGUUUUUUUCAAGCUAGAUUGUUUACUUUUCUCGGAAUUGGGACUCCCAGCAAACGGACUCAGAAUCGGUGAAUCAUUAGAAUGACAAGUAGGCAGAAAUCAAUCAGAAUUCUUGUUAGUUUGAUUCAGAGGAACAAUCCCAUAAUCUUUAAUGGAAAUAAACAUCCCGUACAUUUGAAAAUACUCUCAGGGGACGUGAACAUAAAUAAAUCCGAAACUUCCUACCAGCAUCAGUAGGAAAUUUUUGAUCAAGAAUUCGCUCAUUUUAUCGACAUAAACAAUGUUUAAUGUUUACCCUAAAUAGUGAAGCUCUAAAAUCUUGCAAGUUCGAAGUUUACAUUGCGAUGGAUCAUUUUGUUUAGAUACAGGUUACAUUAUAAAUCAACACUCGUUGGGGGAAUAGAAUCGAAACCAACGCUCGAUGAAUUGAGAAUGCAAAACACAAGAUUGUACGCAGCUCACCUGGGUUCGAUUCCCAACCCCGCACAUAGGGUUAGAGAUUUUUCC